CCAAUGUUUUCGGGGGACUUCGGUCCCUGUCUGAACCCUUGUCUUUUGCGUACCAUUCGUUUCCUUGGUGGGCUUUGCCUGCCAACUGGACACUAUUUAACCUCUUGUAUUUUGCAAUCAGCGUCAGGAAAACAUAAUAGUUA
rnacentral:misc_RNA from 1 species